UCAGGAUGAACGCUGGCGGCGUGCUUAACACAUGCAAGUCGAACGAAGCUCUGAUUGGAUCCCUCGGGGUGAAGAGAUAGAUGACUGAGUGGCGGACGGGUGAGUAACGCGUGGGUAACCUACCCUAUACAGGGGGAUAACAGUUAGAAAUGACUGCUAAUACCGCAUAAGCGCACAGUAUCGCAUGAUACGGUGUGAAAAGCUCCGGCGGUAUAGGAUGGACCCGCGUCUGAUUAGCUAGUUGGUGAGGUAACGGCCCACCAAGGCGACGAUCAGUAACCGACCUGAGAGGGUGACCGGCCACAUUGGGACUGAGACACGGCCCAAACUCCUACGGGAGGCAGCAGUGGGGAAUAUUGCACAAUGGGCGCAAGCCUGAUGCAGCCGACGCCGCGUGAGCGAUGAAGUAUUUCGGUAUGUAAAGCUCUAUCAGCAGGGAAGAAAAAUGACGGUACCUGACUAAGAAGCUCCGGCUAAAUACGUGCCAGCCGCAGC
rnacentral:rRNA from 1 species